AAUCGUACUGUUGACUUGUAACUCAGUUUGGUUACAGCUGUAGGCAAGACCACAAGAAAUUGCAGAGGGGCUGUAGAUGAUGAAGCCGAAUUUUAGUUAAAAAAUAUAAGAAGAUAUUAAAUUGGUUUCUGGGCUAGCUUACAGCUUAUAUUUAGUGUCAAAUUAGGCUUUCCUCAGGUUGCGGGGUGUGUGAGAUAAUAAAUCCUAUAACAUUGUCUCCCAAGUGACAGGCAGAGAGAAGGAGCUAGAGAUAUCUUUGAAGUAAGAUGCCAUAAACCAAAUGACCAAUGUUUAUGGGGAGGAGGCAAUAAAGGAAGAGAGAAAUAGCCAGUCACAUCUUUGUAAACAAAUGACCUAUGUUUAUGAGGGACCAAAUGACAGAGGAAGCAGCGAAAAGAGCUAGGGUGGUCUAUUUGGAGAUAAAGCAAAUGGCCAAUGUUUUCAGUAUAUCUUGUACCAUGUAAACAAAAGGUUUGAUGUGAUGCAUUCUGUGGAAACCUUUUCCUGUACCUCUGACCAUGACUAAUGUCUGUGGAAUGUGCUAAGGGGACAAAAAAAACCUAUUUAAGGCAAUGUAAUUCUGUUGUUAAGAGAAGGUGGCUGAGGACAGUCAAGUGUCUGUGUUGGUCACUUGACUGGAGUUCUCCCUCCCUUCCAUCGGCCGAUGUUAAGUAAAGUUUUGAACUGGUCUACCAAACAGUUUGUGUGGUGUCUGUUUAUUAAGAAGCGAACCUGGUUUAGUAGUUAAGAUAAGUAGCUUUUUCAUUGGCGUAGUUAUGCAGGCCUCGCUGGGACCACAUCAACGGCUGACUGUGCAAGAGGUUGCGGAGGUUGCCGGGAUUGGAAGGGAGAUAACUGAGCUCUAUCGGCCCCCUUGUAAGACCGACUCCCUAGAAACUCCCGGGAACAUCUGUGAUCCUUCAUCAGACAUUGAAUUGGUUCCCUGCCGAGGUUCUUAGAAACAGACACAGAUCUACAUUCCAGGUUGGAGGAGUUUUUGCUGGAAACCAGUGACCAAGGCCAUAAAGGCUAUACGAUGGGGGUGCUGGGACAAGAAGAAAUUGAGACUGUUGAAAGAAACAACCAAGUGUUGCUAACAACAUGAAC